rnacentral:rRNA from 1 species
GAUGAACGCUGGCGGCGUGCCUAAUACAUGCAAGUCGAGCGAACGGACGAGAAGCUUGCUUCUCUGAUGUUAGCGGCGGACGGGUGAGUAACACGUGGAUAACCUACCUAUAAUACUGGGAUAACUUCGUGAAACCGGAGCUAAUACCGGAUAAUAUUUUGAACCUCAUGUUUCAAAAGUGAAAGACGGUCUUUCUGUCACUUAUAGAUUGAUCCGCUCUGCAUUAGCUAGUUGGUAAGGUAACGGCUUACCAAGGCAACGAUGCAUAGCCGACCUGAGAGGGUGAUAGGCCAAACUGGAACUGAGACACGGUCAAGACUCCUACGGGAGGAAGCAGUAGGGAAUCUUACGCAAUGGGCGAAAGCAUGACGGAGCAACGCCGAGUGAGUGAUGAAGGUCUUCGGAUCGUAAAACUCUGUUAUUAGGGAAGAACAUAUGUGUAAGUAACUGUGCACAUCUUGACGGUAACUAAUCAGAAAGCAACGGCUAACUACGUG